rnacentral:rRNA from 1 species
UACGGAGGGUGCAAGGGUUAAUCGGAAUUACUGGGCGUAAAGCGCGCGUAGGCGGCUGGGGAAGUCGAUUGUGAAAGCCCCGGGCUCAACCUGGGAAUUGCAGUCGAGACUGCUCGGCUAGAGUGUGGGAGAGGGUGGUGGAAUUCCCGGUGUAGCGGUGAAAUGCGUAGAUAUCGGGAGGAUCAUCUGAUGCUACGGCGACCACCGGGCUCUACACUGACGCUGAGGUGCGAAAGCCAGGGGAGCGAACGGG